rnacentral:rRNA from 1 species
GACGAACGCUGGCGGCGUGCCUAACACAUGCAAGUCGUGCGAGAAAGUUCCUUCGGGAGCGAGUAAAGCGGCGCACGGGUGAGUAACACGUAGGUAACCUGCCCCCCAGUCUGGAACAACUAGAGGAAACUCUAGCUAAUGCCGGAUGAGACCACGAUCCCCUUCGGGGGUUGCGGCCAAAGAUGGCCUCUACUUGUAAGCUAUCGCUGAGGGAUGGGCCUGCGGGCCAUUAGCUUGUUGGUGAGGUAACGGCUCACCAAGGCUGUGAUGGCUAGCUGGUCUGAGAGGAUGACCAGCCACACUGGGACUGAGACACGGCCCAGACUCCUACGGGAGGCAGCAGUGGGGAAUAUUGCGCAAUGGCGAAAGCCUGACGCAGCGACGCGCGU